rnacentral:rRNA from 1 species
UGGCGGCGUGCCUAAUACAUGCAAGUAGAACGCUGAAGAGAGGAGCUUGCUCUUCUUGGAUGAGUUGCGAACGGGUGAGUAACGCGUAGGUAACCUGCCUUGUAGCGGGGGAUAACUAUUGGAAACGAUAGCUAAUACCGCAUAACAAUGGAUGACACAUGUCAUUUAUUUGAAAGGGGCAAUUGUUCCACUACAAGAUGGACCUGCGUUGUAUUAGCUAGUAGGUGAGGUAAUGGCUCACCUAGGCGACGAUACAUAGCCGACCUGAGAGGGUGAUCGGCCACACUGGGACUGAGACACGGCCCAGACUCCUACGGGAGGCAGCAGUAGGGAAUCUUCGGCAAUGGGGGCAACCCUGACCGAGCAACGCCGCGUGAGUGAAGAAGGUUUUCGGAUCGUAAAGCUCUGUUGUAAGUCAAGAACGGGUGUGAGAGUGGAAAGUUCACACUGUGACGGUAGCUUACCAGAAAGGGACGGCUAACUACGUGCCAGCAGCCGCGGUAAUACGUAGGUCCCGAGCGUUGUCCGGAUUUAUUGGGCGUAAAGCGAGCGCAGGCGGUUUGAUAAGUCUGAAGUUAAAGGCUGUGGCUCAACCAUAGUUCGCUUUGGAAACUGUCAAACUUGAGUGCAGAAGGGGAGAGUGGAAUUCCAUGUGUAGCGGUGAAAUGCGUAGAUAUAUGGAGGAACACCGGUGGCGAAAGCGGCUCUCUGGUCUGUAACUGACGCUGAGGCUCGAAAGCGUGGGGAGCGAACAGGAUUAGAUACCCUGGUAGUCCACGCCGUAAACGAUGAGUGCUAGGUGUUGGAUCCUUUCCGGGAUUCAGUGCCGCAGCUAACGCAUUAAGCACUCCGCCUGGGGAGUACGACCGCAAGGUUGAAACUCAAAGGAAUUGACGGGGGCCCGCACAAGCGGUGGAGCAUGUGGUUUAAUUCGAAGCAACGCGAAGAACCUUACCAGGUCUUGACAUCCCGAUGCUAUUUCUAGAGAUAGAAAGUUACUUCGGUACAUCGGUGACAGGUGGUGCAUGGUUGUCGUCAGCUCGUGUCGUGAGAUGUUGGGUUAAGUCCCGCAACGAGCGCAACCCCUAUUGUUAGUUGCCAUCAUUCAGUUGGGCACUCUAGCGAGACUGCCGGUAAUAAACCGGAGGAAGGUGGGGAUGACGUCAAAUCAUCAUGCCCCUUAUGACCUGGGCUACACACGUGCUACAAUGGUUGGUACAACGAGUUGCGAGUCGGUGACGGCGAGCUAAUCUCUUAAAGCCAAUCUCAGUUCGGAUUGUAGGCUGCAACUCGCCUACAUGAAGUCGGAAUCGCUAGUAAUCGCGGAUCAGCACGCCGCGGUGAAUACGUUCCCGGGCCUUGUACACACCGCCCGUCACACCACGAGAGUUUGUAACACCCGAAGUCGGUGAGGUAACCUUUUGGAGCCAGCCGCCUAAGGUGGGACAGAUGAUUGGGGUG